GAAAUGCGAUAAGUAAUGUGAAUUGCAGAAUUCCGUGAAUCAUCGAAUCUUUGAACGCACAUUGUGCCCUCUGGUAUUCCGGGGGGGCAUGCCUGUUCGAGCGUCAUUUCAACCAUCAAGCCCCCGGCUUGUGUUGGGGACCUGCGGCUGCCCGCAGGCCCUGAAAAACAGUGGCGGGUUCGCUGUCACACCGAGCGUAGUAGCAUACAUUCUCGCUCAGGGCGUGCUGCGGGUUCCGGCCGUUAAACGACCUUCAUAACCCAAGGUUGACCUCGGAUCAGGUAGGAAGACCCGCUGAACUUAAGC
rnacentral:misc_RNA from 1 species